rnacentral:tRNA from 1 species
GGAGGGGUGGCCGAGCGGUUUAAGGCACCGGUCUUGAAAACCGGCGUAGGUGAGAGCCUACCGUGGGUUCAGAAUCCCACCCCCUCCGCCA